rnacentral:SRP_RNA from 1 species
GCUGGGCGUGGUAGUGCGUGCCUGUAAUCCCAGCUACUAGGGAGGCUGAGGCAGGAGAAUCACUUGAACCCAGGAGACGGAGGUUGCAGUGAGCUGAGAUCCUACCACUGCACUCCAGCCUGGGUGACAGAGUGAGACUCUGUCUCAA